GCAACAUUGUAUUCAGUUCCUGUUGCUGUUGCUUCUGCUAUAUUCUGGUUCUGGGCUACUUUGCAUCAUGUUCGGCGGUAGAGCUAAACCUAAGCCUAGGUCGGUGGCGAAUCCACUGGAUUCAGCUUCAUCUUCACCCGGCGAGCGAAUUUUGAAAGAAUGUCACAGUCUGUAUACCGACGCCGAGAACGGACUAAUAAAGAUUGCAAGCAGUCUUGGCCUCCGGUUGCUGCCUCCCCGCAAGAAAAUCACUGUGAUGAUUAUGGGAAACCACUCUGCUGGGAAAAGCUCCUUUAUUAACUGGUAUGUGGAAGAGCACAUUCAGACGACAGGAGUUGCGAUUGAAACUCAAGGUUUCACUUUGGUCACAAGCGGUCGAAAACGAGAAUCGCUCACGGGCAAUGCAACGCUUCAUCUCUACCCUCAUUUCCGACCUCUUCUGGAGUUUGAAGGUGUCUCCGAUUACCUCUCUGCUGAGAUCUCCACUUCCAAGCAGAAGAAAUUUAGCUUGGUGACGUUUGUUGACACUCCAGGCUUGGUGGAUGGUGAUAUGAAGUACCCCUUUGAUGUGAACAGUGCCAUGAUAUGGUUUGGGGAGCAAGCUGACCUCAUCUUCGUUUUCUUUGACCCAAUGGGUCAGGCCCUGUGCAAGCGCACUCUGAAUAUCGUGGAGAAGCUCAACGAGAGCUGUGGGGAUAAAUUGCGAUUCUACCUCAGUAAAGCUGAUGAGGCUGGCCAUGAGACAGACAGGCAGAGAGUCAUGAUGCAGAUAGUUCAGGAGCUUUGCCGGAGACCUGGUUUAAACAAAUGUGGAUUUGAAAUGUCCACAAUCUACAUACCCAAUCCACAGAGGUCCACCCGGUGUGCGAACCAUAUUGAUGGAAUGUGCCAAACAAUUGAGAAGACCAUUAACCAGGCUGUCCAGAAAACCCUGGACCAACUGGAGAAGGACUGUGACCUGAUAUCCAACACAAUUAGCAAUAAAUUUGUACAAGACAGAGAACUCGAGAGCUACAAUAAAAGAGCUUGCCUUCACUCUCUCCUGUUUGGCACACUGGGGGUUCUGUUACCUUUGUUGUUCAUCUUCAGCUUUGUGCUGAACAUUUUGGCCAGAGAGGCUAUAGAGGCAGUGAUUGGUGAGGGUAUGGCCAGCAUUCUCUCCAUAAGUACGGGCUUGAUGUUGACUCUGUGGGACUGGAUACCAGAAGAGAGACAGAUUUUAUGUAUAUUAAUAUUAGGAGCCUUCUCUUACCUUUGUAUUUACUUGGCAAAAUAUCAUGCAGGCAAGGCAAACCGAACCCUCACGAAGAGAGAGAAGAGGUGCCUUCUAGACUAUAGUACUUACCUACAGGAUGUCGUGAAGCAGAAGAAGAAGCAGCUUUAUGGCGAGUAUCUGCGUCAGUGUGCUGCAGAUUAUGACCUGGGCUAGACAUGCACCUCAGCCAACUCCUGAAGAGGAUGAUCAAAAAGCACUUGAGCUCUACAGAUGAACAAGCAAAGCCUUUCGAAACGGGACAGCCUCCAGUCCAAUCACUGAGACCGAGUGGGCAUUCUCAGCAAGAGCGACACGAACAAGAACGACCCUCCAAGAACAAGAAACAGCCCAGAGAACCAUCCUGCAAAAAGAGCCUCCCCAA